rnacentral:rRNA from 1 species
AAUACAUUUUUACAAUACUGUGAACAAACCAGAGUGUAUAAAACAUGUAAUAUAUUAUAUAUUUAGCAAUGAAUGUUUUAUCAUGGAAUAUUGCUUUUUAAUAUAUUUAUCGAUGGAGAUAGUUGGAGUUAAGAGUACUGAUAGGCGAGCGGUGAAAUGCAUUGACCCUAUUAAGACUAACAAAAGCGAAAGCACUUAACUAGAUUAUUCUCUUUGUAUUAUUACAAUGAAGAGCGAAGGUUGGGGGAACAAAGAGGAUCAGAUACCCUCGUAGUCCUAUUUUUACAUCAAACUAUGGGAUUUCAAUCACACUUAUGUUCUACAAUAUUUUUUAUUAUAUAUAAUUGAGUACUUAAUUGUUUACUCUUAUAUUUAAUAUUAUUAUUUUUAUUAUUGAUUAUAUGUACUUUGAGCUCAUAUAAUUAUAUAGGUGAGAUGUAAGCAUUAUAGGAUUCCAUAAUAUAUAAGUAAUAUUAUAUUAUUAUGAUCCUUAUUUAUAAAAAUGUAAUGUGAUG